AUGCCUUAAACUUAUGAGUAAGGAAAAUAACGAUCCGGGGUGACGCCCGGGUCCUCACUGCAAAUGUGAGAGGAAUUUUUGAACGGGUACAGGUCGUCCCCGGAGUGACCCGCCUACUUAGCGGGAUGCUCGGGUGCCAUGAUCUGCCCG
rnacentral:snRNA from 11 species